AUUGAACGCUGGCGGCAUGCCUUACACAUGCAAGUCGAACGGCAGCGCGGGAGCAAUCCUGGCGGCGAGUGGCGAACGGGUGAGUAAUAUAUCGGAACGUGUCCUGUAGCGGGGGAUAACCUAUUGAAAGAUGGACUAAUACCGCAUACGCUCUACGGAGGAAAGCGGGGGUCGCAAGACUUCGCACUACAGGAGCGCCCGAUAUCGGAUUAGCUAGUUGGCGGGGUAAAAGCCCACCAAGGCUACGAUCCGUAGCUGGUCUGAGAGGAUGAUCAGCCACACUGGAACUGAGACACGGUCCAGACUCUUACGGGAGGCACCAGUGGGGAAUUUUGGACAAUGGGCGCAACCCUGAUCCAGCCAUGCCGCGUGAGUGAAGAAGCCCUUCGGGUUGUAAAGCUCUUUCGCCAGGAACGAAAUGGUUCGUGCUAAUACCACGGACUGAUGACGGUCCCUGAAGAAGAAGCACCGGCUAAUUACGUGCCAGCAGCCGCGGUAAUACGUAGGGUGCAGGCGUUAUUCGGAAUUACUGGGCGUAAAGCGUGCGCAGGCGGUUUCUUAAGUCAGAUGUGAAAGCCCCGGGCUUACCCUGGGAACUGCGUUUGAAACUGGGAGACUUGAGUGUGGCAGAGGGGGGUGGAAUUCCACGUGUAGCAGUGAAAUGCGUAGAUAU
rnacentral:rRNA from 1 species